rfam:Physcomitrella patens subsp. patens PHYPAscaffold_178 genomic scaffold, whole genome shotgun sequence.
UAAGAGGCUUUUAUAAAAGCCAUUUUUACACACUUCAAAUCAUAAU